rnacentral:lncRNA from 1 species
ACAGUUCUCUGUUUGCAUUUACUUGCCAGAACAUCUGUUGGAAUCUACUUCUGCAGAAGACCAGGUGAAACAACUAGCCUCAAAGGACUGAGUAACUACUAGACUAUUGGAUUUCCCAUCCACAGCUGCCCAUUAAUUGGACUACAGACUAGCUUCUUCACUUGUUCAUUGAACAGGAAGAGAAGAUGUUGGAACAGAAAGUUUUAAACAAAUACUACCCACCUGACUUUGACUCAGCGAAGAUCCUGAAACUCAAGCUACCAAAGGACCGGCAGUAUGUGGUGCAGCUGAUGGCCCCCUUCAACUUGAGGUGUAAGACAUGUGGAGAAUACAUCCACAAGGGGAAGAAGUUCAACACACAAAAGGAAACAGUCCAGAACGAGGCAUAACUGGGCCUGCCAAUCUUCCGAUUCUACAUCAAGUGCACAUGCUGCUUGGCCGAGAUCAUCUUCAAGACAGACCAGAGAACACGGACUACACCUUAGAGCACGGGGCCACGCGCAACUUCAGGCUGGGAAGCUUCUGGAAGAGGAGGAGAAGUGCGUGCAGAAGGAGCGAGAGGAUGAGGAACUGAACAACCCCAUGAAGGCACGUGGACUUUGAGGCCAUGCUGCGGCAACACCGCCUGUCUCAGGAGCAGUGGUGACAGCAGCAGGAGGAGGAAGAAAAGCAGGAGACAGCAGCCUUGCUGGAGGAGGCUUGUCACUGAAGGCUUCCAGAGGACUCUGACUCAGAGGAUGAGGCUCCACCUUCCCAACCACAGGCAGCUGUAAGACCCAACCCCACAGCCAUCCUCGACAAGGUACCAAAGACCAAGAGGAAAAACAGAGGCCCUGUGCAGCAAAGCACAGUUGGCAGGCUUGGUUAUACCAAAGAAGGUAAUGACGGAGGCCAGCGGGGGCUCAGAGCAGGUCCGAGUGUCCGCCGCUGGUGCCCCCGAGAGCAGAAACGUGGCCAACCCUACACCCCAGACACUUGGUGCCUCCUCUCUGAGCCAGCUGGGUGCAUAUGGGCACAGCGAGGACAGAGACAGCUGAGCAUCACUGAUGCUCACCCUGGCAUCAUAGACCCAAGAAAUGAGGAAAUGGGAUCAAGGAAACACCUUCAGCAAAGGCCUCAGGACCAUUUCUGCCAUGGGUCCUGGCAAGGUGUGGAGAAGCAAUGUACCCAGGCACCCCAGGACAGAAAACCUGGUCCACUCCUUCAGGCCUUGAGUUGUGUGGAACCUGUUGGAUGGUCCCCUCCUGCCACAGAUCUAAACACUGACAUGGAACAGGGGACAGUGACAACGGGCACCAUCUCCCAACCAUACACAAGGUCUGGGGCUUCACCUGCAUGCAAGACAGUAGUACUGUAAAAAAAAAAAAAAAACAAGAAUAGAAAAUGAAUUGAAAAGCAAACAACAAAAAAGCAGUUACCCAUUAUGACUAAGCCAUGUUGGGUGCCACCUGUAGGCAUGAAUUUUUUGCAACCUAAUUUUAAUAGGGUUCAACCUCUUCUCUAGCCCACCACCCAGCAAGAGGUAGUGGAAGACAAAAGUUAUUAGAAUAGGGGGAAGUGGACCUGUUCAGCAAUAGUUCUUUGGGGACAAGCUUGGUCUUCUUGGGCAGCAGUUCAGUCCUGUAGCAAACAUCAUGACUCAGCAGCGGCAGACCCGUCCUCCAGGCAGGCAGAUGCCAGGCAGCUGUAGUUCAAUCCUGAAGAAACUGCCAGGCUCUUCAUCUGGCUUUAGGAGAGGCCACAGAGGUGGCAAGCUGCUGCAGGAACCUCAUGAGCCAUUCUUGGGUGAGUUUCUCUCAAUGGCAGCGUUAUCACCAGCUCAGCUCAACAGCACUGUGUAAGGUGACACCAAUGCAUGCGUGUCUUGAGCGAAGAAAGCAAACCAAACCAAGGCUCACUGCUCAUCUCCCACUGGUCUGUGGGGGCAUAUUUAUACUCCUUCAUCAAGUGUCCUUUCACAUGUUUGCCUUAGCAAGACGCCCUUUCACCUGUGUGCCCCAGCAAAACAUCGUUUGACAUAACUAACUUUCCAAAGAACUAGAGGAUUCCAGUUUAUGUGGGUAUGGGGUUGGGGAUUGGGAGGGGCUAGUUAGUGAGUGUCAUCAGAGUGAAGUUGCCCCAUCUUUGAGGACUUUUACGAGUCAAACAAGAUAAAAGGGAUAGUGUUGAUAGGUUGGAAUGGUACCUGAUAUAUGGUACUAUGAAGUAAGUAGUACUUAUUUUAUUUUGUCAUUAUCAUUGGUGGCACAGCUAUCUAUCUUGUAGUAUCAUUGUGAGCAGAGUAUUAACUGAAAUGAAAUAACAAAGUUCCUAGCAGAUACCCUGAGACACAAGACUCAGCUGAAAUUAGUUCCUGUCCUCCUUCUGAGGGUUCCUUCCCAAUCCAGUCCACUCCGUGAAGCUUUCCCCUGCUUCAUGCCCCCUGGCUCAAAACAUGGAGACAUUUUUGUUAUUUUGGGACCUCAUGGGUAAAGCAUGACUACCAAGUAUACAGGUUGUUGUGGGAGACCUGACUUCUUCCCACUGAGUUUCAGGGAAGCAAGUAAGCUUGCCUAGAGGUAGCAUCCCAGACAACAGAUGGUGAAGUUGAGCUCUCUGUGCUCGUUUAGUUAAGAAUAGCCCCAUGUGCUUGUAUGGAUGAAUAUUUGGUCCCAAAUUAGUGAACUAUUUUGGGAGGAUUAGGAGAUGUCGCCUUGUUGGAGGAGGUGUGUCAAUGGGAGUAGGCUUUGGAGUUUCAAAAACCCAUGCCUAGUACUACCUGAGGAUCCAGAUAUACCACUCUCCUGGGCAUUAUACCCAGAAGAUGUUCCAUCAUGUAAUAAGAACACAUGCUCCACUAUGUUCAUAGCAGCCUUAUUUAUAAUAGCUAGAAGCUGGAAAGAACCCAGAUGUCCCUCAAUAAAGGAAUGGAUACCGACAAUGUGAUACAUUUACACAAUGGAGUACUACUCAGCUAUUAAAAACAAUGAAUUUAUGAAGUUUUUAGGCAAAUAGAUAGAACUAGAAAAUCCUG